CUAUCUUUACACUUUGCUUCUAUAGUCAGUACCAUCUGAGACUUGGCUUUAAGUUGCAAAUGAAUAUAUCAAAAAAUCCAGAAGGGAAUCUGACCAGAGUGGGAAUUAUCUUAGAAAGCCACGUAAGGAAGAGGAAGUCAGCGAGAAGAAAAGGUGGUUGCAAACCAUUAUGGAGUGAGCCAAGCUUCU